rnacentral:rRNA from 1 species
AUUGAACGCUGGCGGCAAGCCUAACACAUGCAAGUCGAACGAGUGGCGGACGGGUGAGUAAUGUCUGGGAAACUGCCUGAUGGAGGGGGAUAACUACUGGAAACGGUAGCUAAUACCGCAUACCAUCGGAUGUGCCCAGAUGGGAUUAGCUAGUAGGUGGGGUAAAGGCUCACCUAGGCGACGAUCCCUAGCUGGUCUGAGAGGAUGACCAGCGACACUGGAACAGAGACACAGACAAGACUCCUACGGUAGGCAGCGGUGAGGAAUAUGGCACAAUGGGAGAGAGCCUGAUGCAGCCAUGCCGCGUGUAUGAAGAAGUGCUUAGGGUUGUAAAGUACUUUCAGCGGGGAGGCGUUACCCGCAGAAGAAGCACCGGCUAACUCCGUGCCAGCAGCCGCGGUAAUUC